AUUGAACGCUGGCGGCAGGCCUAACACAUGCAAGUCGAACGGUAACAGGAAACAGCUUGCUGUUUCGCUGACGAGUGGCGGACGGGUGAGUAAUGUCUGGGAAACUGCCUGAUGGAGGGGGAUAACUACUGGAAACGGUAGCUAAUACCGCAUAACGUCGCAAGACCAAAUAGGGGGACCUUCGGGCCUCUUGCCAUCGGAUGUGCCCAGAUGGGAUUAGCUAGUAGGUGGGGUAACGGCUCACCUAGGCGACGAUGCCUAGCUGGUCUGAGAGGAUGAACAGCCACACUGGAACUGAGACACGGUCCAGACUCCUACGGGAGGCAGCAGUGGGGAAUAUUGCACAAUGGGCGCAAGCCUGAUGCAGCCAUGUCGCGUGUAUGAAGAAGGCCUUCGGGUUGUAAAGUACUUUCAGCGGGGAGGAAGGGAGUAAAGUUAAUACCUUUGCUCAUUGACGUUACCCGCAGAAGAAGCACCGGCUAACUCCGUGCCAGCAGCCGCGGUAA
rnacentral:rRNA from 1 species